rnacentral:rRNA from 1 species
ACCGGCGCACGGGUGAGUAACACGUAUGCAACCUGCCUGUAAGAGGGGAAUAACCCGUUGAAAGACGGACUAAUACCGCAUAAUACUGGAAAUCUGCAUGGAUAUUCAGUUAAACAUUUAUGGCUUACAGAUGGGCAUGCGCAUGAUUAGCUAGUUGGAGAGGUAAUGGCUCCCCAAGGCAACGAUCAUUAGGGGUUCUGAGAGGAAGGUCCCCCACACUGGUACUGAGACACGGACCAGACUCCUACGGGAGGCAGCAGUGAGGAAUAUUGGUCAAUGGGCGAGAGCCUGAACCAGCCAAGUCGCGUGCAGGAAGAAUGUCCUAUGGAUUGUAAACUGCUUUUGCAGGGGAAUAAAGUGAGCCACGUGUGGUUUUUUGUAUGUACUCUGCGAAUAAGGAUCGGCUAACUCCGUGCCAGCAGCCGCGGUAAUACGGAGGAUCCGAGCGUUAUCCGGAUUUAUUGGGUUUAAAGGGUGCGUAGGCGGGAUAAUAAGUCAGUGGUGAAAGUUUGCAGCUUAACUGUAAAAUUGCCGUUGAAACUGUUAUUCUUGAGAGUAGAUAAGGUAGGCGGAAUGUGUUGUGUAGCGGUGAAAUGCAUAGAUAUAACACAGAACCCCGAUUGCGAAGGCAGCUUACCGGGCUACAUCUGACGCUGAUGCACGAAAGCGUGGGGAUCAAACAGGAUUAGAUACCCUGGUAGUCCACGCAGUAAACGAUGAAUACUAGCUGUAUGCGAUAUACUGUAUGUGGCAAAGCGAAAGCAUUAA